GGCAAAAUAAAUGUAUAAUUCGUAUAAGAGAGAAACAACAGGAAUGUGUCCACUUUUCUUUCAUUGUGUUGUCAAUAGUUUACCGAUUUCUAUGAAUGUCUAUUCCAUCAAUAAGUAGCCUAUAACAAUAUCAGUACAAUUGCUGCACCCAACCUUGGCAAUGGAAACCUAUAACUUGGAGACGAGUCGAAGUGACGCGCUCAAAAUAACCAGGUUACCACUUAGCAGAAGUCCAUUUUGGGGAGGUCCCAGCACGAGGACGCAACACCAUAUAUCAAAUCCUUCCAGCUCUUGGCGAUGUCGUGGUCAUAUAGCCUACAACAGGGCAAUAACAUCAGCAAGUCCGUUUCCAGAGAAUGGAUAUUUUGAGGACAGUCGGCGGUGCGUGAGCACCGGGGUCGCUCAGACUGGAAAACAUCGCAUUUAUCCAUAAAAAAAAAAAAGCUUAGGGGAAUCACUGGCACCGUGGCACGAGGGCUACACUGUUGCGUAGUUCUUGUUUUGGAGAAAACAACAUUUCAAGUUAUUUUGAAAGGAAAUGGUGCAAUUCGUCCCAAAGGAUAUUAUUUCUAAAUUUGGGGAUUGUGCAAUACCAGCGCAACUGAUCAAAAAGAGGGGCGGUGGUGGCGAACUUCAACUUCGCACGCAUCUCCAAUCUCUCCCAUACACUCCUCAUCAAGCGAGGGUUUUGCGCGAAGUCAUCUUGCUGUCCAACGGAUGCGGACGAGACAUCACGGAUCCUACCGCGUUGCGCGUUUAUGCUGAACAUGUUUGUGACAUUGGAGAAUAUCAGCAAGUCGGUGCAGGUUUGAAGCUCUGCAACUCCAGCAAAGUAAUUAAGCAUUGCAUGCUGUCAAAAUAUUCCAUUACAAAAGUCUUGAAGAUUUGGGAAGUGUCUCCGAUGACUACAGAUGGGAGGGGGAGGUGAGUUGGGCCGUUUAAAGUCCAGUUCUUCUGGUUUCUUUCUUGAGGGAUGAUGCUCCUCCAUCUCUGUCAUUGGAGAAAUCCUUUCGAAUAACAAAGGUUCCUUUGAGUGAUGAUGACAAACAUUUCCAGAAAGAGAAGGUGAAUGGUGAGAGAACUACCUGUAUGACAUGCAUCAUGGGCUCUCUAUGCACCCCCUCUAGUGUGAGUCAUCAGGCCUAAAGAAGCCAAGCUGUGAGUGGUGAUUCAGGUGUUGAUAAUGGCCAAUGGUGGAGGGCUGGUCGGCCGACAGGUGGGGGCUGGUGUGUGUUGGGUGAGUGUAUUGUGUGCAGUGUGCAUGUAUUGUGAUGUGCAUGUAUUGUGUGAUGUCACUGUGGAAGGGGGUAACGUGUGGGUGUGUCUCCAUGGAGGGGGGUUGGUGUUGUGUGAUGUAUGACUCAACAGGAGAGAAGGGCACACCCAUGGGACGAGCCCAGGCUCCCUUCAGCGGCGGCAUGGGCCCAGAUCUCACUGACUAUGGGUGCCAUGAUUAAGGUGUGUGGGCCUAACUGAUGGAGCUCCAACACUUGAAGAGCCACUAAAAUCCUACACAAACACACCGACACAAAGGCAGAGACGCCGGGCGAGAAAGUGGAGCACACCUUCACCCUCCGCUGUAUCCCCCUUUAUAAAUAAACUCUUCCAACCUGAUUUCAGCCAACCAGCUACUGAGAGUCUGAGACCUGGGCACGUAUUCACAAAGCGUCUCAGAGUAGCAGUGCUGAUUUAGGAUCAGGACCCCCCUGUCCAUACAAUCAUAUUCAUUAUUAUCUAAAAGGCAAAAAACUGAUCCUAGAUCUGCACUCCUACUCUGAGACGCUUUAUGAUGGGGACAACCCAGAGUAAAUAGAAUGACUUAGCUAUGGCUUAACCAUGUGUUGCAUCUCUACAAUGGUAAUUUCCUCCAGUAACUACUAAUCAUUAAAGGUCUCACUCCCAAUCAUCUGGAUAGUGUUUAUAAUACUUGGUAGAUUCCCAUCAUUCUGAAAUAGCCUGAUUGUGUUUAAUUGGAGAGUUCACUAAACAGAGUCCACAACAAAUCCAAUGUAUUUUAACAGCAGGCAACAAUUUAAUCCGCCUGUGCUCCAUAUAUCGCCAUUGUAAACAACCAAGAUGCCGAGCCCAAUGUUGCACAAUGAGCCUAAGUUUAGGAGGAGGAGUUGAAAGGUCAGAUAAACAGUUCUCCUAGGCUUUCCCUGCCUUUUAAACAGGAGUCCUGUCAAUUUUUAUCUUGGUCAGAUCUCUUGACUUAUGGCUGUGUACACUAAUGCUGCACUUCUGGCGGCUCCUUAACCCACUGUUUGCUUUGUUUCAUAUGGACUGGAAUCUCAAGUUGCUUGUUGGCGUGGAGGCUUGUGCGCUGAGUCGCCGACAAAGCAUGGAAUGAAUGCUUUGCAGGCUAAUGGGCAGGCUAACCUUUUCCAGUGUUUGUCAUGAGUUGUUUGCCAGAUGGCUUCCAUGGAGUUUCUCAGCCUCCACCAAAUAGGGAAUUGCCAUUGACAGCAAGUAAACAACCAGAACACCAACUGCCGCCAAUGUGAACGUCUUAAGGUAGGAGCUAUCUUUGGUAGCAAGUGUCUCUGCUACAUUCAAAACUACGGAUGCAGUUAUCAGGUAAAAACGACAUCCUCCUUACACUACCUCUCAAACUCUUUCACAACCCAAACUCAACUCUUACAAUCUUUAUCCCAAAUGUUGAAUUAACGUUGAAUGAAUGUAUUCUCACUGUAUACAUAUUAUCCGUAUAAGCUGGGUUAAAGGUCAUAAAGCAUCCAGUGACAGGUGGAAAUGAAGACCACACAGCCUGACGAGAUCAGGUUGAAGAGGGAGGACAUAUUGAACUUGUGGGUCAUAGGUCAAAGGCUGAACUCUCUCCUUCUCCCCCGCUCUCUUUCACUCUCACCUUUCUCCUUCCCUCUACCCCACUAUUUCCUUAUUUGCAUCUCUCUAUCUCUCACUCACACACACACACACACACACACACACACACACACACACACACACACACACACACA